rnacentral:rRNA from 1 species
UACGUAGGUGGCAAGCGUUAUCCGGAAUUAUUGGGCGUAAGCGCGCGCAGGUGGUUUCUUAAGUCUGAUGUGAAAGCCCACGGCCCAACCGUGGAGGGUCAUUGGAAACUGGGAGACUUGAGUGCAGAAGAGGAAAGUGGAAUUCCAUGUGUAGCGGUGAAAUGCGUAGAGAUAUGGAGGAACACCAGUGGCGAAGGCGACGUUUCUGUCUGUAACUGACACUGAGGCGCGAAAGCGUGGGGAGCAAACAGG